GACAGAGGGUGCAACCGUUGUUCGGAAUUACUGGGCGUAAAGCGUGUGUAGGCGGCCGCGCAAGUCGGAUGUGAAAGCCCCGGGCUCAACCCGGGAAGUGCACCCGAUACUGCAUGGCUCGAGUACUGGAGAGGUUGGUGGAAUUCUCGGUGUAGAGGUGAAAUUCGUAGAUAUCGAGAGGAACACCGGUGGCGAAGGCGGCCAACUGGACAGAUACUGACGCUGAGACACGAAAGCGUGGGGAGCAAACAGG
rnacentral:rRNA from 1 species